rnacentral:misc_RNA from 1 species
GUAGGUGAACCUGCGGAAGGAUCAUUACCUAGAGUUGUGGGCUUGCCCACUAUCUCUUACCCAUGUCUUUUGAGUACUUACGUUUCCUCGGCGGGUUCGCCCGCCGAUUGGACAAUUUAAACCAUUUGCAGUUGCAAUCAGCGUCUGAAAAACAUAAUAGUUACAACUUUCAACAACGGAUCUCUUGGUUCUG